rnacentral:rRNA from 1 species
UGGGGAAUAUUGGACAAUGGGCGAAAGCCUGAUCCAGCCAUGCCGCGUGUGUGAAGAAGGUCUUCGGAUUGUAAAGCACCUUAAGUUGGGAGGAAGGGCAUUUACCUAAUACGUAAGUGUUUUGACGUUACCGACAGAAUAAGCACCGGCUAACUCUGUGCCAGCAGCCGCGGUAAUACAGAGGGUGCAAGCGUUAAUCGGAAUUACUGGGCGUAAAGCGCGCGUAGGUGGUUUGUUAAGUUGGAUGUGAAAUCCCCGGGCUCAACCUGGGAACUGCAUUCAAAACUGACAAGCUAGAGUAUGGUAGAGGGUGGUGGAAUUUCCUGUGUAGCGGUGAAAUGCGUAGAUAUAGGAAGGAACACCAGUGGCGAAGGCGACCACCUGGACUGAUACUGACACUGAGGUGCGAAAGCGUGGGGAGCAAACAGGAUUAGAUACCCUAGUAGUCCCUGAGCGGGCUGGCAAGGCGCAU